rnacentral:rRNA from 1 species
UAACUAAGCGGUGGAAAAGAAACUAACUAGGAUUCCCCCAGUAACGGCGAGUGAACAGGGAAGAGCCCAGCGCCGAAGCCUCCGUCCCGCGCGGGCGGCAGGCAAUGUGGCGUUCGGGAGAAACCUCUCCUUCCGGAAACUGUCCGGGAGCCCAGGUCCCCCUGACCGGGGCCAUCGCCCGUUGAGGGUGCAAGGCCCGUGCGGCUCUUGGCGUCCGGAGGACGGUUUUUUUCUCCCGGGAGUCGGGUUGCUUGGGAGUGCAGCCCUAAGAGGGUGGUAAACUCCAUCUAAGGCUAAAUACUUCCACGAGACCGAUAGCAAACAAGUACCGUGAGGGAAAGUUGCAAAGAACUUUGAAGAGAGAGUUCAAGAGUACGUGAAACCGCUCGUAGGUAAACGGGUGGGCCCUCGAAGGCAAGCAGGAGGGGAUUCAACCCGUUGGCAAUCGACCGUGCGCCGCGGUUUUUCUCGAAACGGAUCCGAGAGACCGGCCCGUGGCGCCGCGGUCGUCAGCGGGCGCACUUCCCCUUCUCGCGUCCCGUCCUUCUGGGCGGGACCGAACGCCGCGACCGGUCGGGAGAAACGACGGCGGCCAAGCGGCGAGAUUGGGCAGGUAUCCUACUCGUCCUUUCUGUUUUUCCCUUCGGGGUUGGCAGGAUUGCUUGUAGGAGAGCUUUCAGCCCGUCUCGACCCGGCUCCGCCGCCCGACCGUGGUCUAGAACCGAGGUUCGACAACCGCGCAUGCGCUUUGACGCUCGAGCCCGUCCCGCACGUAGGGUUUUCUGGCCGCCGAUAGAUCCAUAAAACCUCCCCCCCGCUCACGGCGGUUACACGAAGCGGUCGCCCUGCGUUGUGUACCCCCUUUAGGACGUGUGCUCUCGUUUUUUGUUCCAAAAAAAGCAGCGCUUGUGGUCGGCGGCGAGUAGGUCGGUAACCCACCCGACCCGUCUUGAAACACGGACCAAGGAGUCUAACAUGUGUGCGAGUCGUAGGGUUCGUCCGAAACCCGAAGGCGCAGUGAAAGUAGAGGUCGGCUCUAUGCUCGGCCGAGGCAGGAUCCGUCGUUCUCUUUCCUUUUACCCGGGCACAUUCCCCUAACUCCGGUUAGGGUGUGUGUUUUUUUGGUCUGUAACUGGAAGUCGGCGGCGCACUGCCGGCCCGUCUCGACCGCCACGUCGGUGAGGCGGAGCAAGAGCACACACGUUGGGACCCGAAAGAUGGUGAACUAUUCCUAGGCAGGACGAAGCCAGAGGAAACUCUGGUGGAGGUCCGUAGCGUUUCUGACGUGCAAAUCGAUCGUCAGACCUGGGUAUAGGGGCGAAAGACUAAUCGAACCAUCUAGUAGCUGGUUCCCUCCGAAGUUUCCCUCAGGAUAGCUGGCUCUCGAGACACACAGUCUCAUCCGGUAAAGCGAAUGAUUAGAGGCCUUGGGGCCGAAACGACCUCAACCUAUUCUCAAACUUUCAAUGGGUGAGAAGUCCGGCUUGCUCGACUGAAGCCCGGACGAUAACGGAUGCGAGUGCCCAGUGGGCCACUUUUGGUAAGCAGAACUGGCGCUGUGGGAUGAACCAAACGCCGGGUUACGGCGCCAAAUGCGACGCUCAUCAGACACCAUGAAAGGUGUUGGUUGCUAUAGACAGCAGGACGGUGGCCAUGGAAGUCGGAAUCCGCUAAGGAGUGUGUAACAACUCACCUGCCGAAGCAACUAGCCCUGAAAAUGGAUGGCGCUCAAGCGUCGAGCCUAUACCCGGCCGCCGGGGCAGAGCCCGUCCAAACGGCCCCAGAAGCCCCGGCGAGUAGGAGGGUCGCGGCGGUGAGCGGAAAAGGGUCGGGCGCAGGCCCGCCUGGAGCCUCCGCCGGUGCAGAUCUUGGUGGUAGUAGCAAAUACUCGAGUGAGAACCUUGAGGACUGAUGUGGAGAAGGGUUCCAUGUGAACAGCAGUUGAACAUGGGUCAGUCGGCCCUAAGGAAUAGGGAAAUCCCGUUCCGAACGGGGGGUUGGUACAUAAACAAAAUUUUCCAAAAGAAAAAAAACCCCCGCCCAGACCGAAAGGGAAUCGGGUUAAUAUUCCCGAACCCGGACACGGAGAUCGGGCCCUUUGUGGUCCAGUGCGGUGACGCAAACAUCCUCGGAAACGUCGACGGGAGUUCCGGGAAGAGUUGUCUUUUCUUUGUAAGGGACGGAAUCCCUGGAAUCGGUUCGCCCGGAGAUAGGGAUGUGGUUUCCGUAAAGCACCGCGCCUCCUGCGGUGUCCGGACAGCUCUCGUCGGCCCUUGAAAAUCCGAGGAAGGUAGUGCGAUUUUCGUGCCGGGCCGUACCCAUAUCCGCAGCAGGUCU